GACGUACUCCCUCAUUACUUGUCUUGGAUUUGUCUAGAUACAUAUAUAUCUAGACUCAUUUUAAUGCUAGAUACAUCCGUAUCUAGAUAAAUCUAAGACAAGUAGUUCGGAACGGAGGGAGUAGUAC
rnacentral:pre_miRNA from 1 species